GGGUUAGUAGGUUGGUCAUGCCACUGGUAUGUACUGGUCUCACUGAUUCCUCCUUCCUGAUGAACUGUAAUGCCAUUAAUUUGGUGUUGCGGGGAAUUUGGACUGUUACUUUGAAAAAAUUAGAGUGUUUAAAGCAGGCUCGCGCUUGAAUACAUUAGCAUGGAAUAAUGAAAUAGGACGUACGAUCCUAUUUUGUUGGUUUCUAGGAUUGACGUA
rnacentral:rRNA from 1 species